AUUGAACGCUGGCGGCAGGCCUAAUACAUGCAAGUCGAGCGGAUGAAGGGAGCUCGUUCCCGGAUUCAGUGGCCGACGGGCGGGUAAUUCACACGAAUCUGACCGGCAGUGGGGGAUAACGUCAGGUAACGGGAGCUAAUAUCGUACACGUUCAGAGGGAGAAAGUGGGGGAUCUACGGACAAAACGCUAUUAGCUGAGCCUAGGUCGGAUUAGCUAGUUGGUGGGGUAAAGGCCUACCAAGGCGACGAUCCGUAACUGGUCUGAGAGGAUGAUCAGUCACACUGGAACUGAGACACGGUCCAGACUCCUACGGGAGGCAGCAGUGGGGAAUAUUGGACAAAGGGCGAAAGCCUGAUGCAGCCAUGCCGCGUGUGUGAAGAAGGUCUUCGGAUUGUAAAGCACUUUAAGUUGGGAGGAAGGGCAGUAAGUUGAAACCUUGCUGUUUUGACGUUACCAACAGAGAAAGCACCGGCUAACUACGUG
rnacentral:rRNA from 1 species